UGUCUCUCAACCUUAAUGGUGUCCGCCACACCAUAUGGUGUGUUUUUAUAUUUUCUAAUUUCCAACAUGGGUGGACAUGUCCUCCCAUGGGGUACCAUUUGUUCUAGCACAGGGCACCUUGCAGCAAUAAUCUACUUUGCUAGACUACCUUCUAUUUAUCCUCGAAUCAAUUUGAGAUGGAAAAACAAUUUAAGAAAGCUUUACAAUGGUAGAUUUGGAUGUAUUGAAAUUAGUAUGUUCAUUGAUUAAUGGAAGCACUAAAUUGCGAGUGCUCAUAUAGGGGCCAAACACCAGAAAGCUUGAUUCUAAACUUCGAAUAUGAUUUACCCAUAUAAUAGCUCAAGUAAGAAACUCCUCCACAAGAUUCUUUUACAAGUGAACGGUUGUGGUCAUUGACUCCUUGACAUGUCAAUUACAUGGUAAAACCUAAUUGUAAAUUUGAAAACAGAGAGAUAUAUUAAUAUCAAAAUAUUUAUGUGUCAGCAUAAUGUGAGAAAAACUAAAUAGACUUAAUGUUGAUUUUUUAUUUUUGGGUAUCUGCUACGUGCACGUUUUGAUAGAUAAUGAAUACUAUUUUAUCAACUCUAGUAAUACACAGUACAACCUGAAGUUAUCUUAAUGCAACAAAGUCACUCAAAUUCAGAAAUGAUGCCAAAACAAUGUAUUAAUCUUACUAAAAGGUAAAAGAAUUAUUAAAGUAAGUAUAUAAAAUAAAACUGUAUGAUUUUAAAGAAUUUCAUAAAUUUGUUUAUUGUCCUCCUUGAAAAUUUGUGUUUGUAUUCGUGCUUCAUGGCUGAAAUGUUUUUCUUCCUUGUACUAUCAAAUCUACCUACAGGCAUAUCUAUCGACUUUAAUAUAGUAUGGGGUGCGAAAGGCGCCACCAAUGUACUGUGAAAAGGACAAGCUACAUAACUCAGAUGAAGUUUACCAGCUUUAUGAGUGUAAUUACAUAUUCAUUCUUUUUAAAGUUGAUUGAUAACUAGCUCCUUUCGACUCUCUCACCGAUGAUUUUUCAGUUGUAUUGGAAUGUUUUCUAUUUACAUCAUUACAUCAUUUAUUUUUAUCACUUUAAUCAGAGAUUGCAUGUCUCAUAUUUGAACUCUGGCCUUGUUUAUUUCCUUCAAGAAGGAUUCAGAUGAGGUAGAAUGUUUGGACUUGCUGCUUCUACAAAAGAAGCAGCUUAUUUCAAUCGUAUGAUGUACUGCCUAAAGAGCCAUUGAGUUCUCUUUUGGCUUUUAAGCUUAGCCAUCCAACUCGUGAAGUAUCAGUUACUUCCCAAAUGACCAAAAGAAAGAAAAAACUGCCGCCAAAUGAAACUACUCAGCUUCCUAUUUGUGAAUUGUGAUGUGGGUUGAUUCUCUUCUCGUGUUGAUUUUUGUCCAGUAGGAUUUCUACUUUUGAUCAUGCCUUCCUUUCAUUUGAUAUUUCAGCCUUCAUGGAGAAAUGCUUAGCUUCACUAGAAAUUGGAGUUUCUGCAUUCUAAUGCACUCGUCUGGAUAGAAGAUUGUCAAUAUUCUUGUCUAGAAGAUUAAACUAUUUGGAGAGCACAUUUAUUUGAAUUGUGUCUUAAACACAUUCCCCUACCCUAUGGGCUGGAUUUAUUUUUUCACGAGAGCAAGAAGAAACAAAAAUCCCAGGAGAUUCAAGAUGUAUGUGCAGAAUUUGUCAUUAUUUUUACUUGUCAAAAGAAAGAAUUUGUCAUUAUUUUGCCUCUUGCUCAUAGGAGAAAAUAUUAUAAAAAUGAUGUCUCAGUUGUAUUAUUUGAACAGUUUCAUUACAAAGAAAUACAAAAACUAUUAGGGCA